UACGUAGGGGGCUAGCGUUGUCCGGAAUCAUUGGGCGUAAAGAGCGUGUAGGCGGCCCGGUAAGUCCGCUGUGAAAGUCGGGGGCUCAACCCUCGAAUGCCGGUGGAUACUGUCGGGCUAGAGUGCGGAAGAGGCAAGUGGAAUUCCCGGUGUAGCGGUGAAAUGCGCAGAUAUCGGGAGGAACACCAAUGGCGAAGGCAGCUUGCUGGGACGGUACUGACGCUGAGGCGCGAAAGCGUGGGGAGCAAACAGG
rnacentral:rRNA from 1 species